rnacentral:lncRNA from 1 species
AUACCUUGUAGUCAGCAAUUCUGCUUUGUCAAAAGUAGAAUCAACAACAGAAGAGGCUGCCUUAGUGUGUUCGCUAUCCUCUGCUCCACUUGCACCUUCUUGACGACCACCGGGAGGAAUUGGAAUAGGAGAUGUAGGUGGCUUUAAAUCUUCAUAACUGCCAAGAUUAAAUCAGUCAGCAAAUAAGAUACACUAUGCUUGCGUGUAAGUAGUUGAACUAACUCAGGAAUGACUUAACGCAGUGUAUGGAGACAAAGGCCUUGUAGUCAGCAAUUCUACUUUGUCA